GCGCGAAACCUCCGCAAUGCGAGCAAUCGCGACGGGGGAAACCCAAGUGCCACUCUUAACGGGGUGGCUUUUCUGAAGUGUAAAAAGCUUCAGGAAUAAGAGCUGGGCAAGACCGGUGCCAGCCGCCGCGGUAACACCGGCGGCUCGAGUGGUAACCGUUAUUAUUGGGUCUAAAGGGUCUGUAGCCGGCCGGAUAAGUCUCUUGAGAAAUCUGGCAGCUUAACUGUCAGGCUUUCAGGAGAUACUGUCUGGCUCGAGGCCGGGAGAGGUGAGAGGUACUUCAGGGGUAGGGGUGAAAUCUUGUAAUCCUUGAAGGACCACCAGUGGCGAAGGCGUCUCACCAGAACGGACCUGACGGCAAGGGACGAAAGCUAGGGGCACGAACCGG
rnacentral:rRNA from 2 species